CCGAGUUAUUCAACUCAUCAACCCUGUGAACUUACCUAAACGUUGCUUCGGCGGGAACAGACGGCCCCGUAAAACGGGCCGCCCCCGCCAGAGGACCCCUAACUCUGUUUCUAUUAUGUUUCUUCUGAGUAAAACAAGCAAAUAAAUUA
rnacentral:misc_RNA from 1 species